AAGGCAGGAUGGAAGUGUGCAUGCUUGAGUAGAAAGGAAGAGGCACCAAGAGGAGCUAAAGAUGCUGGAGAGGAAGAGCAUAGGUGUGAACCCACAGACGUAAGAAAAAUGAACAUCUUUUAGGGUCCAAAAGGCCACCUCAAGAGGUCUGCUUCUCAUUCUGGCUCUCCAACUCAGUAGUAGAUCUCCUUUUUGGGCUGGCGUCUUCAGUAAGAUGGUGGACUGAGACCCCAAUUGCCACACACCUACUUUGGAGAAGAAGCAGAAUGAGAGCCUGGAUACCCCGAAUCCAUGUCUACGUCUCUGUCCACUAUACCACACGGCACCAUUUUAAAACAAACCUAGAAGCCACUGGUGGCUCCAGAAAGACAUUUAUCCCUUAUACUUCAAACCUAGAGAAUGUUGACUGGCAUGGUUCCUUUGGAGCAAAUCCAAUUCUGGAAGAGGAGAGGAGGCUAAGUUAUUUUUUCCCAGCCUUCAUGAGAUCACUGGAAAUGCUCUCAGAAGAUGUGUUAGACUCUAAGAGCUGGAUUUUUCCAUUCAGUUCCCCUUUGUUUUGCUUGGCCUUACAAGGAAGAAAAAUGCUUAACUGAGUGAUCAAGCCAAUGAAACCUGAAUCAGCUGUUUGUUUUAUGUUUUCCUCAUUAAGUAUUUCCAUUUUGUGUUUAAAAUUCAGAAGCUUAUCUUAAAGAGCAAAGGUUACAUUCAAGAUUAAUGUCAAAGAAUCCCUAAGAAAACUGCCUGAGAAACCAGGAUCCUGGUCUUUAGAGGAACUGUUCUUUCUGAGAAGCCUGAUGACUCAUGUUGGUUGUAGAAACUUGUAAUCUGCCAUGAAAAUUAAAGCAUUUACAAUUCAAA
rnacentral:lncRNA from 1 species